GGCUCUGUAGUGUAGAGGUUAUCACUCAAGAUUCUGAAGUUACUUGGUUUCGAACCUGGUAUACUGCGAAUUCUUGAAACCCAGGUUCGAGUCCUGGCAGGGCCU
rnacentral:tRNA from 1 species